GCGAAAAGAACCCCGGCGAGGGGAGUGAAAAAGAACCUGAAACCGUGUACGUACAAGCAGUGGGAGCACGCUUAGGCGUGUGACUGCGUACCUUUUGUAUAAUGGGUCAGCGACUUAUAUUCUGUAGCAAGGUUAACCGAAUAGGGGAGCCGAAGGGAAACCGAGUCUUAACUGGGCGUUAAGUUGCAGGGUAUAGACCCGAAACCCGGUGAUCUAGCCAUGGGCAGGUUGAAGGUUGGGUAACACUAACUGGAGGACCGAACCGACUAAUGUUGAAAAAUUAGCGGAUGACUUGUGGCUGGGGGUGAAAGGCCAAUCAAACCGGGAGAUAGCUGGUUCUCCCCGAAAGCUAUUUAGGUAGCGCCUCGUGAAUUCAUCUCCGGGGGUAGAGCACUGUUUCGGCAAGGGGGUCAUCCCGACUUACCAACCCGAUGCAAACUGCGAAUACCGGAGAAUGUUAUCACGGGAGACACACGGCGGGUGCUAACGUCCGUCGUGAAGAGGGAAACAACCCAGACCGCCAGCUAAGGUCCCAAAGUCAUGGUUAAGUGGGAAACGAUGUGGGAAGGCCCAGACAGCCAGGAUGUUGGCUUAGAAGCAGCCAUCAUUUAAAGAAAGCGUAAUAGCUCACUGGUCGAGUCGGCCUGCGCGGAAGAUGUAACGGGGCUAAACCAUGCACCGAAGCUGCGGCAGCGACGCUUAUGCGUUGUUGGGUAGGGGAGCGUUCUGUAAGCCUGUGAAGGUGUGCUGUGAGGCAUGCUGGAGGUAUCAGAAGUGCGAAUGCUGACAUAAGUAACGAUAAAGCGGGUGAAAAGCCCGCUCGCCGGAAGACCAAGGGUUCCUGUCCAACGUUAAUCGGGGCAGGGUGAGUCGACCCCUAAGGCGAGGCCGAAAGGCGUAGUCGAUGGGAAACAGGUUAAUAUUCCUGUACUUGGUGUUACUGCGAAGGGGGGACGGAGAAGGCUAUGUUGGCCGGGCGACGGUUGUCCCGGUUUAAGCGUGUAGGCUGGUUUUCCAGGCAAAUCCGGAAAAUCAAGGCUGAGGCGUGAUGACGAGGCACUACGGUGCUGAAGCAACAAAUGCCCUGCUUCCAGGAAAAGCCUCUAAGCAUCAGGUAACAUCAAAUCGUACCCCAAACCGACACAGGUGGUCAGGUAGAGAAUACCAAGGCGCUUGAGAGAACUCGGGUGAAGGAACUAGGCAAAAUGGUGCCGUAACUUCGGGAGAAGGCACGCUGAUAUGUAGGUGAAGUCCCUCGCGGAUGGAGCUGAAAUCAGUCGAAGAUACCAGCUGGCUGCAACUGUUUAUUAAAAACACAGCACUGUGCAAACACGAAAGUGGACGUAUACGGUGUGACGCCUGCCCGGUGCCGGAAGGUUAAUUGAUGGGGUCAGCGCAAGCGAAGCUCUUGAUCGAAGCCCCGGUAAACGGCGGCCGUAACUAUAACGGUCCUAAGGUAGCGAAAUUCCUUGUCGGGUAAGUUCCGACCUGCACGAAUGGCGUAAUGAUGGCCAGGCUGUCUCCACCCGAGACUCAGUGAAAUUGAACUCGCUGUGAAGAUGCAGUGUACCCGCGGCAAGACGGAAAGACCCCGUGAACCUUUACUAUAGCUUGACACUGAACAUUGAGCCUUGAUGUGUAGGAUAGGUGGGAGGCUUAGAAGUGUGGACGCCAGUCUGCAUGGAGCCGACCUUGAAAUACCACCCUUUAAUGUUUGAUGUUCUAACGUUGACCCGUAAUCCGGGUUGCGGACAGUGUCUGGUGGGUAGUUUGACUGGGGCGGUCUCCUCCUAAAGAGUAACGGAGGAGCACGAAGGUUGGCUAAUCCUGGUCGGACAUCAGGAGGUUAGUGCAAUGGCAUAAGCCAGCUUGACUGCGAGCGUGACGGCGCGAGCAGGUGCGAAAGCAGGUCAUAGUGAUCCGGUGGUUCUGAAUGGAAGGGCCAUCGCUCAACGGAUAAAAGGUACUCCGGGGAUAACAGGCUGAUACCGCCCAAGAGUUCAUAUCGACGGCGGUGUUUGGCACCUCGAUGUCGGCUCAUCACAUCCUGGGGCUGAAGUAGGUCCCAAGGGUAUGGCUGUUCGCCAUUUAAAGUGGUACGCGAGCUGGGUUUAGAACGUCGUGAGACAGUUCGGUCCCUAUCUGCCGUGGGCGCUGGAGAACUGAGGGGGGCUGCUCCUAGUACGAGAGGACCGGAGUGGACGCAUCACUGGUGUUCGGGUUGUCAUGCCAAUGGCACUGCCCGGUAGCUAAAUGCGGAAGAGAUAAGUGCUGAAAGCAUCUAAGCACGAAACUUGCCCCGAGAUGAGUUCUCCCUGACCCUUUAAGGGUCCUGAAGGAACGUUGAAGACGACGACGUUGAUAGGCCGGGUGUGUAAGCGCAGCGAUGCGUUGAGCUAACCGGUACUAAUGAACCGUGAG
rnacentral:rRNA from 1 species